rnacentral:rRNA from 1 species
CUGCAUGGCUGUCGUCAGCUCGUGUCGUGAGAUGUUGGGUUAAGUCCCGUAACGAGCGCAACCCUUGUCCUUAGUUACCAGCUCGUAAUGGUGGGCACUCUAAGGAGACUGCCGGUGACAAACCGGAGGAAGGUGGGGAUGACGUUAAGUCAUCAUGGCCCUUACGGCCUGGGCUACACACGUGCUACAAUGGUCGGUACAGAGGGUUGCCAAGCCGCGAGGUGGAGCUAAUCCCAGAAAACCGAUCGUAGUCCGGAUCGCAGUCUGCAACUCGACUGCGUGAAGUCGGAAUCGCUAGUAAUCGCGAAUCAGAAUGUCGCGGUGAAUACGUU